AUCGCUUCUCGGCCUUUUGGCUAAGAUCAGGUGCAAUCUUUUAGUUAAUUUAACAUCU
rnacentral:snRNA from 1 species